GGGAGAGCACACAGCAGAGGGGAUUAGAAGCAGAUUGAGCUGACAGACAGUCUCUUUCCCUUGGAAUUUCAGCCUCAUGAAGGCAGGUACUUUGCCUGCCCUAUUCACAGCUGUAUUUCUGUCUCGGAUAGUGUGUGCACGUAACGGGGAAUACUGCUGGAUGUCUGGCUAUUCUUGCAAAAGAUAAUGAAAGGAGAGCAGGCUCUAAGUGCAGGGGAUGCCAUUCCAUGGAUCAUGUUUAUCUUACUUUGCAUCACUGCCACCACAAGUCCUGUGUGGAAUGAUGAAGAAGGAAUAAACCAAGCACCUGUGUCUAAUCUGAGUGGAGUCUUCAAGUUGGAAAGAGAUGAAGAGAUGGCCAGGACCUAGCACCUACAUUUCUGGCUGUUUGUUUGACACUUAUUAACUGGAAGGAAGACAUUCAUCAUUGGACAGGAGGCAAUCCAGUGCUGUGCUUAGAACCCGGAUUCUUGAGUUAGCCUGUAUGAGUUCAAAUCCUAGUUUGUGUCCCAUACAAACUGAGUGCUCUUGGCUAUGAUCGUGCUGCAGAUUCUGUUAACAUUGACCCUGUAACACAUACUCUGCUUUAAUGAGGAGGUGGUGCCAACGUGAUGAACUGACCAUGAGGAGCCCCCUCCAAAGGAGACCACCCAAAGAGAAGCUGAAUUAAAAUCCCUGUAAUACAAACCAUCACUGGUCAGGAAUGAAAAGUACUUAAGAAACAACUGAAAUUUACAAUGAUUUCAGACACACUUGGUCUCCAUCUCUUCCCAAAAAAUAAAUCCAUCUCAUUUCAAGUGA